UCCUACGGGAGGCAGCAGCUAAGAAUCUUGCGCAAUGGGCGAAAGCCUGACGCAGCAAUUCCGCGUGGGGACGAAGGCCGUAAACUCCUUUUGUGAGGGAAGAAGUUCUGACGGUACCUCACGAAUAAGACACGGCUAACUACGUGCCAGCAGCCGCGGUAAUACGUAGGUGUCGAGCGUUGUCCGGAUUUAUUGGGCGUAAAGCGCCCGCAGGCGGCCAGGCAAGUGGUGAAAUCUCCCGGCUCAACCGGGAGGGUGCCCUGGAAACUGCUUGGCUUGAGGCAGGGAGAGGGAUGUGGAAUUCCCGGUGUAGUGGUGAAAUGCGUAGAUAUCGGGAGGAACACCAGUGGCGAAGGCGGCAUCCUGGCCCUGUCCUGACGCUCAGGGGCGAAAGCGUGGGGAGCAAACCGGAUUAGAUACCCGGGUAGUCCACGCCGUAAACGAUGAGUACUAGGUGUUGGAGAACGCGAUAAGUACUCCGCCUGGGGACUACGGCCGCAAGGCUAAAACUCAAAGGAAUUGACGG
rnacentral:rRNA from 1 species